AUUGAACGCUGGCGGCAUGCCUAACACAUGCAAGUCGAGCGGAUGAAGGGAGCUUGCUCCUGGAUUCAGCGGCGGACGGGUGAGUAAUGCCUAGGAAUCUGCCUGGUAUUUGGGGAUAACGUCCGGAAACGGGCGCUAAUACCGCAUACGUCCUGAGGGAGAAAGUGGGGGAUCUUCGGACCUCACGCUAUCUGAUGAGCCUAGGUCGUAUUAGCUAGUCGGUGGGGCAAAGGCCUACCAAGGCGACGAUCCGUAGCUGGUCUGAGAGGGUGAUCGGCCACAGUGGAAGUGAGACACGGUCCAGACUCCUACGGGAGGAAGCAGUAGGGAAUAUUGCGCAAUGGGCGAAAGCCUGACGGAGCAACGCCGCGUGAGUGAUGAAGGUCUUCGGAUCGUAAAGCUCUGUGAUUAGGGAAGAAGAAAUGUGUAAGAAUAUCUGCUUGUCUUGACGGUACCUAAACAGAAAGCCCCGGCUAACUACGUG
rnacentral:rRNA from 1 species